CCUACGGGAGGCAGCAGUGGGGAAUAUUGCACAAUGGGGGAAACCCUGAUGCAGCGACGCCGCGUGAGUGAAGAAGUAAUUCGUUAUGUAAAGCUCUAUCAGCCGGGAAGAAAAUGACGGUACCUGAGUAAGAAGCCCCGGCUAACUACGUGCCAGCAGCCGCGGUAAUAAGUAGGGGGCAAGCGUUAUCCGGAUUUACUGGGUGUAAAGGGAGCGUAGACGGCAGUGCAAGUCUGGAGUGAAAGGCGGGGGCUCAAACCCCGGACUGCUUUGGAAACUGUACGGCUGGAGUGCAGGAGAGGUAAGUGGAAUGCGUGGUGUAGCGGUGAAAUGCGUAGAUAUUAGGAGGAACACCAGUGGCGAAGGCGGCUUACUGGACUGUAACUGACGUUGAGGCUCGAAAGCGUGGGGAGCAAACAGGAUUAGAUACCCGUGUAGUC
rnacentral:rRNA from 1 species